rnacentral:lncRNA from 1 species
GAGUCGCUUUGGGAACAAUUGUUCCUCGCGUCGCCGCCGUCGGAUUGAUCCGAUUUGCGCGCGAUUUGGUGAGUAAUCUCAUUAAUCCUGGAUUAGUUGGCUAAUUAUACUUAAGGUUGGUUUAGUUUUAAUUAAUUAUGUUUAUGUUGUUAGAUUAGAAUAAAUUAGCAAUUAUUAGUCAAUUGUGAUGCGAUUUAAAUAAAUUGAUUGCGUAAUUAGCAAGUAGACGUGGUCUACUAAUUAUUGGAAGUGCCUCGGGAUUUUUCCCGACCCUUAGUGGGCUCCAAUUAGGCUUUUUGGGCCUAAGUGGAUUUUUUAGUAUUUAAAUAUUAAUUUUCGGAAUUAAAUUAAAUAAUUAUUUAUUUUCCGAAAAUUCAACGGAGAUGGCUCGGGACCGGAAAAUUAUGCUGAUGACCGUGGUGAAGUCCGUUUAUUUAAUCGGGCUUUAUUUUGAGCUAAAUUGAAUUUUUAAUAUUAAUUAUUUAAUUUUCGAAAUUAAUUAAAUUAAUUAAUUAUUUUUCGGAAAUUAAGAUUUUGAUGGCCGACGACCGAAAUCUCGUGCUGAUCGUUGUGGUGCAGUCCGUUUAUUUAUUUGAGCUCCACGUUGUAUGGAAUUGAAUAAAUUGUGAUAUUUUAGGGAUUUACCCUAAAUUGAUUGGAAUCGAUUGAGAUUGAAUUAUCGAUUGGUGAAUGGCCAAGUAUGUUUAUUCAGCAUUUAUAAUGCUUUGUUGAGUUAAUUUAAUUAUUUGAUUGAGUAUUGAUUGGUGAAUGGCCAAGUAUGUUUAUUCAGCAUUUAUAAUGCUUUGUUGACUUGAUUUAAUUAUUUGAUUGAGAAAUCGUUGGGCAUUGGUUGUCGGUAUUGAAAGUAGAUUGGUAACCACUUGAAAGAGGACACGUGGGCUCGGUGAAUUGGAAUAUCACCUGGAAAAUGCAAGUGAGUUUAGUGAUUGAAUAUAUUGAAUUAUUUAUGUUGGCUCUGUGAUCAGUGUAUCACCUUGGCGAAAAAGACGCCCGAGAGCAUAUUGAAUUGUUUAUGUUGGUUCUGUGAUCAGUGUAUCACCUUGGCGAAAAAGACGCCCGAGAGCAUUGAUGGAGCUCUGUGACUAAGUGCAGGCAUCUAAAAGGGCACGUGGGCUCGGUGAAUUGAUGCAUCACUUUGGUGAGAUAGCACCUAAGAGAAUGCACGUGGCCCGGGCAUCGUAAAAAGGGCACGUGGGCUCGGUGAAUUGAUGCAUCACUUUGGUGAUAUAGCACCUAAGAGAAUGCAUGUGGGCCCAGGCAUCUAAAAGGGCACGUGGGCUCGGUGACUUAAUGUAUCACUUUGGCGAAGAGGUCGCCUGAGAGAAUGCACGUGGGCCCGAGGUUCGAGGCACGUGGACUCGGAGACUUGGAAUGUCGUCCUAGAGAAUGCACGUGGCCUCGCUUUUAGAUAAUCCUCCGUGGAGAGUGAUUUGUGUGGCAUGUAAUCGACUGGUUCGUUUUGUUUUGAGUAAUUGGGUGCCUAUUAUGAAUUGUACUUGCAGGUGAGAUCUGAGGCCAAGGUAAGUCCUCUGCCCUGUGCGUGUUUAGGCAGCCUUUAGUAUAAUGGUUUAUCUAAUCGGGCUUAGUGGGGUAGAACUCGCUGAGACGUAGUCUCAUCCCAGUUUGGGGAAAACCAUUUCAGGAUCCCGCUGAAGAGCUGAGAAGGAAGAAUCCGAGAAGGAGGACUCGGAGGCGAAUCUUAAGGAGUAAGAUUUUUGGAGGAAGAAGGCAAUCCUGAGAGGGGCCUUGAGUGCGGCCCAGUUCGUCUAAGUUUCUGUCUUCUUUUGAGAUCUCCAUUUUGAUGUGAAUAGUUUUGAAGUGGUUUGUGUUUUGUAUAAAAGUUUGGUUAUAAAUUUCAAUAUGAAAAAUAUGGCCCUGCUUUUCUAUCCCAUUGUUUUAUUGUCUGGGGAUUUUAACUGCUUCAGCAUGUGCUUAAUAAUUGAAAGGGUCGGC